rnacentral:rRNA from 1 species
AACGAACGCUGGCGGCGUGCCUAACACAUGCAAGUCGUGCGAGAAAGGUUCCUUCGGGAACCGAGUAAAGCGGCGCACGGGUGAGUAACACGUAGGUAAUCUGCCCCUUAGUCUGGAACAACUGGAGGAAACUUCAGCUAAUGCCGGAUGAGACCACGGCCCCUCGGUAGCUGCGGCCAAAGGAUGGCCUCUACUUGUACGCUAUCGCUGAGGGAUGAGCCUGCGGGCCAUUAGCUUGUUGGUGAGGUAACGGCUCACCAAGGCUGUGAUGGCUAGCUGGUCUGAGAGGAUGACCAGCCACACUGGGGACUGAGACACGGCCCCAGACUCCUACGGGAGGCAGCAGUGGGGAAUAUUGCGCAAUGGGCGAAAGCCUGACGCAGCGACGCCGCGUGGGUGAUGAAGGCCUCGGGUCGUAAAGCCCCUGUCGCAGGGGGAAAGAACAAGCACCGGGAUAAUACUCCGGUGCCCUGACGGUACCUGCAAGAAAGCACCGGCUACUCCGUGCCAGCAGCCGCGGUAAUACGGAGGGUGCGAGCGUUGUUCGGAAUUACUGGGCGUAAAGCGCGUGUAGGCGGCCGAUUAAGUCUGGUGUGAAAGCCC